rnacentral:ncRNA from 2 species
UAGUUCCUUCGGGGCAGGGUGAGAUGGUUUCCCUAUACGCCAUCAAUUCCCGAUCGGUGGUGAGCGCAUCCCGUAUGAUGCCAAGUCCACGAGCUGAAAAAUGCAGUUUUCACUGCGGUACAGCAUGAACUGGUGAAAAUCCAGUACCGACGGUAUAGUCCGGAUGAAAGAAGGAAAUU